rnacentral:rRNA from 1 species
UACGUAGGGCGCAAGCGUUAUCCGGAAUUAUUGGGCGUAAAGAGCUCGUAGGCGGUUUGUCGCGUCUGCCGUGAAAGUCCGGGGCUCAACUCCGGAUCUGCGGUGGGUACGGGCAGACUAGAGUGAUGUAGGGGAGACUGGAAUUCUUGGUGUAGCAGUGAAAUGCGUAGAUAUCAAGAGGAACACCAGUGGCGAAGGCGAGUCCCUGGACAACUUCUGACGCUGAGGCACGAAAGCUAGGGGAGCAAACAGG